GCUACGGGCGGCAGCAGUGAGGAAUAUUGGUCAAUGGCCGGAAGGCUGAACCAGCCAUGCCGCGUGAAGGUCAGUGCCCUAUGGGCGUUAAACUUCUUUUUUGCGGGAGCAAUAAGGUCCACGUGUUGACCGACGAGAGUACCGUACGAAUCAGCAUCGGCUAACUCCGUGCCAGCAGCCGCGGUCAUACGGGGGAUGCAAGCGUUAUCCGGAGUUAUUGGGUUUAAAGGGGGCGUAUGCUGGAAGGUAAGUCAGCGGUGAAAUGCCCCCGCUCAACGGGGUGAAGUGCCAUUGAUACUGCCUUGCUUGAAUGCGGAUGCGGUGGGAGGAAUGUGUGGUGUAGCGGUGAAAUGCAUAGAUAU
rnacentral:rRNA from 1 species